rnacentral:rRNA from 1 species
GACGAACGCUGGCGGCGUGCUUAACACAUGCAAGUCGAACGGUGAGGCGCUUUCCUUUUUGGUUGGUGUGGAGGAGUGGCGAACGGGUGAGUAACACGUGAGUAACCUGCUCCCUUCUUCUGGAUAACCGCAUGAAGGUGUGACUAAUACGGGAUAUUCUGCGCCUGCCGCUUGGUGGGUGUGGGAAGGUUUGUGCCUUUGGGAGUUUUCGGUGGGCGAUGGGCUCGCUGCCUAUCAGCGUGUUGGUGGAGUGAUGGCCUACCAACGAGGUGACGGGUAGCCGGGAUGGGAGGGUGGACGGUCACACUGGGACUGAGACACGGCCCAGACUCCUACGCGACGGAGCAGUGGGGAACAUUGCACAAGGGGCGCAAGCGUGAUGCAGCGACGCCGCGUGUGAGAGGGAGGCGUUCGGGUUGUGAACCUCUUUCGCAAGUGAAGCUGGGCUGGUCAUUGUGGGUGGGUUGACGGUAGCUGGAUAAGAAGCGCCGGCUAACUACGUG